AUUGAACGCUGGCGGCAUGCCUUACACAUGCAAGUCGAACGGCAGCAUGACGUGUAGCAAUACACGUUGAUGGCGAGUGGCGAACGGGUGAGUAAUAUAUCGGAACGUGCCCUGUAGCGGGGGAUAACCUAUCGAAAGAUGGACUAAUACCGCAUACGCUCUACGGAGGAAAGCGGGGGUCGCAAGACCUCGCACUAUAGGAGCGGCCGAUAUCGGAUUAGCUUGUUGGCGGGGUAAAAGCCCACCAAGG
rnacentral:rRNA from 1 species